GUCAAUACAAAGGAUUUUCGAAGAAAGGGACCAAAGGUGACAAAAUGGGGAACAUGGGAGGCUUGGAAGACAAGAAAAUAAUAAAUUCACGAUAAGAACUAAAUUCACGACGUGGCAAUGAAGCCCACGACGUGGCAUGGGUGUUCCAGAAGAUAAGCAUCGCGACGCGGAGGAUUUCCUUGAAGGAUACGGAUUGCUUGAAGCCCACGACGUGGCGCAACCUGGCCACGACGUGGCGCGGGUUUUUAAGGAUUAUAUAAGUUCUCCUGAUUAUUACGAAAAGGGAGACUUUUGGCAGAAGAAAAAGAGUUCCAGGAGACGAAUAAGAACGAAAGAAAGGUUCUGGAAGAGGGUUUUCAACACCAAAAGAAGUAAAGGUUUAUUUUUAGAACAUGUCUUUCAUUAGUUUUAGCUGUGUUAGUUUAAUUACUAUGAUGAGCAGCUGAAUCUAGCUACUCUUGUUUAGCUAGAUGAAGCUUUGAACUUAUGAAUAGUUAUAUGAUUAUGGAUUAAGCUUAGUUGGUGAAAAUUUGCUUGUGUUUGAUUUGUAUGACCUAGCAUGUUAAUAUUUGUUUAUCUAAUUGCUUAAUUACAUGUUCUGUGUAGCUUAGUGACCAUUAAACUGCAUGAACCUGUUUACCUAAUAAUUUAGUGAACAUUGAAUUGUUAGAGCUAGGAUUGACCAAUCUUAGUUAAUAAUUAGAAUAAAUAAAAGUUUAGCUAUGCUAGAGAACGAGAAUUGUGAUCAUAAUUGCGUUUACACAACAAAUCUUAUAUAGCAUAUUUACAACUAUAAUUAGUUCUGUGUUUAAUUAUGUGUGAACAUACAUGGUUUGACAUGAAUUAGUUAAAUAUUGGUAAGAUAGAACUAAAUUACUAAUAUAAGUAAAAACCAACUUAGUAAUCCGUAAUUGUUAGCUAGCCAUAAGGGAAAAGUGAAUUCAAUCUAAACAAGAGUGUGUGUUUUUACUUAUUGAAUUGGAUUUAAGUUCAUCUGAUCUUGUAAAAUCAGAUAAAAACCUUUAUUAAAUUUGUUAAUAAAUUAGGUUAAUUUAAUAGUAAGUAAAUUAAUUAGAACACCGUUCCCUGUGAUCGACACCCGACUUACCCAAGCUAUACUGUAAUCUGACUAGGUACACUGCCUAUAAGUGCAUAGAUAGUUAAGUUUGUUAGGUUAUAAAUAUUAAAAUUAGUGAGUACUUUUGUGCACAUCAAGUUUUUGGCGCCGUUGCUGGGGAAGCGGCUUAGUUUUUAGUUUAUUUAUUUGCAUUAAAUUAAUCGAUCCUUCUUGUGGAGUCACAGCCACAAAAAGUUAAUUUUUCAGCAAAAUAAAUUUUUUUUUCAAGAAGUCCACGACGUGGUCACAUACUUGCCACGACGUGGACAGGCAAAAAUUUUUAAAAUUUUUUUUAGUUGGUAGUUAGUUUUUCUUAUUUUAGUACAGUUUUACGUUUUAGUUUAGCAAGUUGCAGGAGUUCAUGACCAGAAGCUCAAACACACACUUGGUGCCACCACUGGAAGACCCUGAAUCUGCACUUCGCAAGAAAAAGACGCCCUUGCAAGAAUUGAAGUCAGCCUUUUCUAGGAAGUCGGGAAAGAAGACAGGAGAGUCCAGCUCAUCAGCGAAGCACAAGAGCAAUCUUGAGCACUUGGAUCACACACCCGUGCUAGAAAGCGAGUCCGAAAGCGAUACCGAGCCAGAAUUUGAAGAACACACAAGUGAACCCGAGAACGAGCCAAGGAACGAGAUGGAAGCGAUUGAAGAAAUGUCCAUGGGAGCAUAAAAAAAGCGGAUCCGAGAUGAUAUGGGUCCUGGGCUAGUCCAACCCGCAAUUCCUGCCACUGCCACAUUUGAGCUGAAGGGACACAUAUUGACAGCACUGAAGGACAUCCCAUUUUUCGGGAAGGAUCAUGAGGAUGCUUUUAAGCAUCUAGACGAAGUCAACGACAUUGCAGAUUACUUCAAUAUCCCAAAUGUCACCAGGAAUACAGUCUUGCUUAGGAUGCUUCCCAUCACUUUCAAAGGAGCUGCUAAGGAGUGGUUAAAAGCACUCCCACCAGGUACAAUCACCACUUGGGCUCAAAUGCGUGAGCAAUUCCUGGACCAGUUCUGCCCGCCAUCCAAGAUAGCCAAACUCAAGAAGGCGAUAGCCAACUUUGAGCAACAACCGGGGGAGUCACUAUACGAAGCAUGGGAGCGGUACAAGGGCUUACUCAGAAAUUGCCCUCAACAUGACCUAAAUGUGCAGCAAGAGAUGUCAAUCUUUUAUGAUGGGGUCAAUGUAAUGACAAGACAACUCCUUGAUUCUCAAGGACCGUUGACAAAGAAAAAUCCAAGGGAAGUCAAGGAGCUCAUCGAAGAAUUCGCGAAACACUCCCACGAAUACCAUAACCCGAGGCAAGACGGAAGUAAAAGCGGUGGAGGGGCCCAAACUGAAGACAUUGCAGCUGUCAUGGCCAUGCUAAAUAACAUGGAUCGCCGGAUAACACAAAUGGACCAGUCGAUACAUGCCAUAAGAGUGGGGUGCGAGCGAUGCAGUGGUCCACACUUGACCAAGGACUGCAAUAUGGAUGAGUUUGGGAACAGAAAAGCUCAAGUGUGCUACUCUAGUGGGGAUAAGUUUGAUGACGACUGGAGGAAACCAAAGAGGGAGUGGCUGCCAUAUGAAGAGUAUAAAAAGCAAAAAGAAGAGAAGUAUAGGCAGAUCUGUCGAGGCUUUUACCAAAAGGAGCAGCCACCAAUCGAGAAGAAACCCGACCUAGAGACCAUUUUGAUGAAGUUUAUGGAGACUUCGGAAAAGAGACAUGAUGCCACGGAUUCCGCCAUCAUGGAACAACAAACAAUGAUAAAAAACCAGCAAGCCUCCAUCCAUAACCUUGAAGUACAAUUUGGUCAACUAGCCAUUUUAGUCCACGAAAAAUUGUCUCCGAAGAAUCCCGAAGUAAAAGCCCAAUCUCACGUAAUGGCCAUCGAUACUGAAGAAGAUACAAUAUCCGAGUUCCUGGAGGCGUUGGAAGAACAACCGCAGCAGCCCAAGAAAUCAAGGAUCAAAAACAGAGAGAAUGUUGAACCAGGCUCCCCCCCCCCCNCGACGUGGCGCAAGUCUGAGCAAAAAUCUUUUGAGCCUAUUCCAGAUUAUCAUCCACCUAUGCCAUUUCCCACCCGUGCAGCACUUAGUCAACUGGAGAAGGAACAUUUAGAGUUUGUGAAGCAUGUGAAAGGGAUUCCAAUUAAUACUCCCUUUGUUGAGUCCUUAUCCAAAGCUUCCGAGAACCAGAAAUUACUGCAAGACUUGAUAGAUACGCGAAGGCAAUUAAAGAAACAGUCUACAGUGAUUCUAAGUGAGCAAAUUUCAAAAGUUGUGUUGGGAGAAACACCAGAAAAGAUGGGGGAUCCUGGACGCCUCACUCUUCCAUGCGAGUUUGGGAAUAAAAUGAAGGUUAAUGCUUUAGCCGAUUCCGGGGCUAGCAUUAAUCUAAUGCCUUUUUCAUUUUAUCAAAAAUUGGAGAUUCAGAAGAUGAAGGCUACAAAAAUGAAGAUUCACAUGGCGAACCGUUCGGUGACACAACCCCGAGGCAUAGUGGAGGAUAUUUUGGUGAAAAUCGGAAAAUUUGUUUUUCCAAUAGAUUUUGUAGUCUUGGACAUGAAAGAAGACACGGAUGUUCCGAUAAUCCUUGGUCGACCAUUGCUUAACACUGCUGGUGCCCUGGUUGAUAUCCGCAAGUCCAAGCUCACUUUGAGGGUUGGGGAUGAGCAAGAAGUCUUCGGGAUAAGAAAUAACUUUCAAGAAGAUAAAGAAGAGGUGUUCACGAUUAACGAAGAGAAUGAACUAGAAGAGUUGGAAAAGCUUAUGGAAGAAGAGAUGAGGGUAGUUCAUCAAGACAAGAGGACAAAACCAAGGGCAUCUGUUCCGUAUUUGAUUGAAGUCAUAGCCUACAAGAACCCACCUUCUUGGGUGAGCAAAGAGGACAAGGAAAUGACAAGUGAUGAAGAGGAAGUCACUUCCAAAGUAACAAGGCCGGUGGUGAAGGAAGAGGGGAACACUAUGGAGAGCAAGGAACACACAAAGGGCACAAAACGAAAGCAUGAAGAAGAUGGAAAAACUAAAAAAGAAAAUUCAAAGAAGGCGUAUAAAAGGAGAGUUCAAGCUUAUAAACGGCGGUUCAAGGAACAAAAGAUCCUGGUGAUAGACUCUUCCGAGGAGUCAACGUAGAAGGCACGGAGUCCAGCUCAAGACUCCAAGAAAAAGAAGCGCUUCUCGGGAGGCAACCCGCGUUUGGUUUGAAUUUUUUCUNUUAUUUUCUUUUUAAUUAGGAAAGACAUCAAUUCAUCAUCUAAAAAACCGGUAAUAAGCAGAGAAAUAGCUGUAGGGGACUUUAAAUAAUGAAUGAUUUGCAAAGUAAUUAAUUAAUUAGAUGAAUAUUAUUAAAAUUUGGCAUCUGACAGCUCCCACGACGUGGGCAUAGCCAACCACGUCAUGGGAUUAACUAUAAUUCACGAUCUUAGGAAAUUUAAGGUCCACGACGUGGGCAGAGCCCGCCACGUCGUGUCCUUUAAAAAUCAGGGGAGGACCAAUCGCUUAAAACCCUUUGAACGAGAAAACCCUUAUCCCCCACUUGGAAGACUGCCGCACUCACGGGAACAUCACGACCCUACUGCCAAUUUCUUAUUAUAUUUCCAAAUUCAUUGCAAGAUCUUGCUAAUUACUCCAUUUGGUAUGUGUUUAACUCAUUAUUUUGCAAUUACUUCUUCCAAUUUCAAGUUUUCGUGAUUAGGGUUUGAAUGAUUCACGAAAUUGGUUGAAUCUAGUUUGCAUGUUAGUUAAAAGUCCAUAGGAACAAACCCCAAGAACUAUUUUUAUGGAAAUCGCACGUAAACAUAACCGAUUCAGAAUCUGGGUUCGACGUGACCCACGACGUGGCGCAUCCUGGCCACGUCGUGACUUCUGGCAGACCAUUAAUAUAUGUUUUAAUGUGUUCUUCGUUGCUGCUUUGCUUUGCUUUUGUUUGCAGAAUGGGACCACGACGAGCUGUCCAGCAGGAAGAGGACCCGAUUGAUGUAGCAAGCAUACAUCCUCUAUACCACUUUCCUCAAAACAUUCCCCGAACAUUGCUAACAACCGACGAGAAUCGGCUUGGAUGGUUAUACAAUAGGGAGUUUGCAAUAGCCCCAAUUAUUGAUUGGGGAUGGCUUGGUAGAAUGGGAAUGGUAGUGGAGCUAGACUGUUAUUGGUCGAAGACUUAUGUUGGAGAUCAAUUUUCGUUCACUUGUCACGGGUGGAGGAAUCUAUUCGCCAUUCAAGAACCCGUGUUCCGGGAAUUGUCGGUAGAAUUUUUUUCUACCGUUUGUUUUGAAGAGCGCACCCUUGAUGUCACCUACAAUAGGGCACUUGUGUUUCGUCUUGGAGGUGUAUAUCGUGAGUGUAGUCUUCGGGAGUUUGCUUGGCGUAUGGGACUCUAUACGGAAGUGGAGACGCAAUCUCCAUUUUUUAUUCCUUUCUUGCUUGGAUGUGUGCGGGAUUUUACUCCAGGUACUUUGGAUGUGCAGUUUUGGCGGGGCAUUUCUAACCAUGAGUACAACACUCGUGACUCGAGUGAGUCACAAAUACGGAAUCCUGUGUUCCGAUUUUUGCACCGCCUUAUCACGUUUUCAAUCAAUCACAAGCAUCAUGGUGAUAAGGUCCCCAUCCAGAAUCUAUUUUAUUUAUGGACACUUAUUACCCCGGGGGUUUGUUGUGAUCUGCCUUAUAUGUUGGCAAGGUUUAUGGGGAAGAAAGCGGCCAAUUCUAGGCCUGGGAGCCCGAUUACUGGGGGGCAUUUGGUUACUCGCCUGGCUAGGUCAUAUCAAAUUUUGACCCCUGACUUUGUGAGGAAUCUCACUCGAUUCCCGGACACAGACUUGACCAUUCAAGUCCUGGGUGUGAUGCGCGCGGUGGUGAAUAUCGAGGGUCGCUUUGUUAUACCACCGAUCGAUGACGAACAGGAGGAAGUGCAGCCGGGACAGCAGCCACCAGCUAGGCCGAGGCGUCGGAAUGUGCGGGCUAGAGGUGAGGUCGAACGAGAGCGUGCUGCUUCGCAGUAUGUGCAAGGAGUGCCCACCGACCCUUUUCAGAGUCGGGUGGGAACAUAUUUGGAUAAUCUACGAGGUCAUGCUAUUUACCAUACCCAGCUUACUGAGGGUAUCUAUUCACAUUUGGGUGUGACCCGACCACCUUCUAUGCCACCACAAUAUCCCUAUUUUCCGACAUGGGAGGAGCUAUGGCGUCCACAAGAUGAUGGAGCAGGGCCGAGUGGAGCACAAGAUCAAGAUGAUGAUUGAUUUUAUUUCUUUUGUUCUGUUUUUGAGUAGUUUUUUUUNNNNNNNNNNNNNNNNNNNNNNNNNNNNNNNNNNNNNNNNNNNNNNNNNNNNNNNNNNNNNNNNNNNNNNNNNNNNNNNNNNNNNNNNNNNNNNNNNNNNNNNNNNNNNNNNNNNNNNNNNNNNNNNNNNNNNNNNNNNNNNNNNNNNNNNNNNNNNNNNNNNNNNNNNNNNNGGGGGGUACUUUAGGAGAAUUUUAGACACAAAUGCAUGCGUUGAGGUUUUGGCAUAAUGGCUGAACUAGAGUCGGAUUGUUCUGUGUAGUUUUAGUAAUUAAGAAUUAAGUUGAAAUUUGCUUGAGGGCAAGCAAAGCCUAAGUGUGGGGUAUUUUGAUAUUGCCAUAUUUACACUUAUUUUUAGGCAGUAUUUAAGUACAUUUUUAUUAAUAAAUUGAUAAUAUGUUUAGAAUAAUGAUACUUAUGAGUUUAAAUUGUUAUUUUCAGUCAAUACAAAGGAUUUUCGAAGAAAGGGACCAAAGGUGACAAAAUGGGGAACAUGGGAGGCUUGGAAGACAAGAAAAUAAUAAAUUCACGAUAAGAGCUAAAUUCACGACGUGGCGAUGAAGCCCACGACGUGGCACGGGUGUUCCAGAAGAUAAGCAUCGCGACGCGGAGGAUUUCCUUGAAGGAUACGGAUUGCUUGAAGCCCACGACGUGGCGCAACCUGGCCACGACGUGGCGCGAGUUUUUAAGGAUUAUAUAAGUUCUCCUGAUUAUUACGAAAAGGGAGACUUUUGGCAGAAGAAAAAGAGUUCCAGGAGACGAAUAAGAACGAAAGAAAGGUUCUGGAAGAGGGUUUUCAACACCAAAAGAAGUAAAGGUUUAUUUUUAGAACAUGUCUUUC
rnacentral:lncRNA from 1 species